CAGCCGCCGCGGUAAGACAGAGGUCCCGAGCGUUGUUCGGAUUCAUUGGGCGUAAAGGGUGUGUAGGAGGUUGGGUAAGUCAGGUGUGAAAUCUCUCAGCUUAACUGAGAAACUGCGCUUGAUACUGCUCAGCUAGAGGAUCGGAGGGGGUAACGGAAUUUAUGGUGUAGCAGUGAAAUGCGUAGAUAUCAUAAGGAACACCGGUGGCGAAGGCGGUUACCUGGAAGAUUCCUGACUCUGAAACACGAAAGCCAGGGGAGCAAACGGGAUUAGAUACCCGCGUAGUCCCUGUCUCUUAUAC
rnacentral:rRNA from 1 species